rnacentral:rRNA from 1 species
GAUGAACGCUGGCGGCGUGCCUAACACAUGCAAGUCGAGCGAACGGACGAGAAGUUUGCUUCUCUGAUGUUAGCGGCGGACGGGAGAGUAACAUGUGGAUAACCUACCUAUAAGACUGGGAUAACUUCGGGAAACCGGAUCUUAUACCGGAUAAUAUUUUGAACCGCAUGGUGCAAAAGUGAAAGUCGGUCUUGGUGUCAGUUAUAGCCGGAUCCGCGCUGCAUUAGCUAGUUGGUAAGGUAACGGCUUACCAAGGCAACGAUGCAUAGCCGACCUGAGAGGGUGGUCGGCCACACGGGAACUGAGACAGGGUCCAGACUCCUACGGUACGCAGCAGUAGGGAAUCUUACGCAAUGGGCGAAAGCCUGACGGAGCAACGCCGCGUGAGUGAUGAAGGUCUUCGGAUCGUAAAGCUCUGUUAUUAGGAGAGAACAGAUGUGGAAGUAACUGUGCAGAUCUUGACGGUACCUAGUCAAAAAGCCACGGCUAACUACGUG